UACAGGGGGCUCGAGCGUUAGUCGGAAUCACUGGGCUUAAAGGGUGCGUAGGCGGCUCGCCAAGUGCUUUGUGAAAUCCCACAGCUCAACUGUGGAACAGCAGGGCAAACUGGCGAGCUUGAAGCAGGUAGGGGCCGGAAGAACAGUUGGUGGAGCGGUGAAAUGCGUAGAUAUCGGAAGGAACAUCAGUGGCGAAGGCGACUUCCUGGACCAAUACUGACGCUCAGGUGCGAAAGCGUGGGGAGCAAACAGG
rnacentral:rRNA from 1 species